GUCGAGCGACGGAUAAGGAGCUUGCUCCUUUGACGUUAGCGGCGGACGGGUGAGUAACACGUGGGCAACCUGCCUUUUAGAUUGGGAUAACUCCGGGAAACCGGGGCUAAUACCGAAUAAUCUUUUUCACCUCAUGGUUAAAUAUUGAAAGACGGUUUCGGCUGUCACUUUUGGAUGGGCCCGCGGCGCAUUAGCUAGUUGGUGAGGUAACGGCUCACCAAGGCGACGAUGCGUAGCCGACCUGAGAGGGUGAUCGGCCACACUGGGACUGAGACACGGCCCAGACUCCUACGGGAGGCAGCAGUAGGGAAUCUUCCGCAAUGGACGAAAGUCUGAUGGAGCAACGCCGCGUGAGUGAAGAAGGAUUUCGGUCGUAAAACUCUGUUGUUAGGGAAGAACAAGUGCAUUUUAACUGGCUGUACCUUGGCCGGACCUUAUUAAAAAGCCCCCGGUUACUACGGGCCACCAGCCGCGGUAAUACGUAGGUGGCAAGCGUUGUUCCGGAAUUUUUGGGCGUUAAGGCGCGCGCGCAGGGUUGGUUUCUUUAAAGUCUCUGGAAGGUGAAAGCCCCACCGCGCCUCCACACCCGUGUGGAAGGGUCAUUGGAAACUGGGAAGACUUUGAGUGGCGAAAGGAAGAUAAGGGAAUUUCCAAGGGAGGCGGUAAAUGCGUAGGGAUUAGGAAGAACCCCCAUUGGCGAAGGCCGACUUUUUGGUCUGUUACCUGACAACUGGAGGGCGAAGCCUGGGGAACCAACACAGGAAUAGUUUCCCUUGGUAUUCCCGCCCGUAAACAAUGGAUGGCUAAAUGGUUAAGAGGGUUUCCGCCCCUUUAGUGCUGCAAGUAACAGCAUUAAGCCAUCCCCCUGGGGGAGUACGGUCCCAAAAGCUGAAAAUCAUAAAGGAAAUUACGGGGGCCCGCCACAACCGGUGAACCAUGGGGUUAAUUCUGAAACAACGCAAAGACCCUUCCCAGUUUUUACAUUCCUUUGACCACCUCUAGAGAUAGGGUUUCUCCUUCGGGGGCAAAGGUACCAGGUGUGCCAUGGUGUUGGUCAGUUGGGUUGGUAAAAGGUGGGGUUAAUUCCGCAAAGAGGGCCACCCCUUAUUUUUGGUUCCCUCCAUUAAUUGGGCCAUUUUAAGGGGACGCCCGGGACCAACCCGGAGAAAGGGGGGGAGGAGGUAAAUUCUUCAGCCCCUUUAGACCUGGGGUACCACACUUGUACCAAGGGCGGAACCAAAAGGUGCAAAACCCGGAAGAGGGAGUUAUUUCAUAAAACUCUUUUCCAUUUGGGAUGUUGGGUGCCAAUUGCCUACCAGAAAGCGGGAUUCGUUGGUAUUGGGGGUUCACCAGCCGCGGGGAAAAAGUUUCCCGGCCUUGGAAAAAACGCCCCUUACCCCCAGGGGAGUUUAACCCCCGAAGGUCGGGGGGGUACC
rnacentral:rRNA from 1 species